AUCUCCUCCUCUCAGGUUCACAUAGGGUUGUGAAAUAAUCCUAUGACAUGGUUAAAAAAUAGAAUGUUUCCUGUAGGUGGACCUAACAUUGUGUGUGUGUGUGCAACAUAUUGCCUCAAAUAAGUGUUAUUACUGUGUAUUUGUCAGUAUCAAUGACCAUUUAUCUUCAUAUACUGAGGUUACUAGACGAACCCAGUCUUUGGAGUUCUUGCAGGAAUUUAUGGGUGCUUUUUCUUAACGAUAGUCUCCAGGAAGUCCAACAUUCGCAAAGAAGCUCAAAGGAAUCAGUAAUUCAAGUGUGACUCACACAGCAUCUCUGAACCGUUGGAUUUUUAGCAACAGAUAAAAUGGUUUUUGCUGUACCACAGAUGAUCCUCCUGAUCUGCCUGCUUCAGUUUUGUACUUGUGCAGUCGGUCAGAAUGUGCACCCAAGAACUCUCAUGAAUAUUGUAAAGAACUUUGAGAAAAAGUUGUCUGGCAUGGGACAAUAUGCUGUCGCAUUCAGAGUCGAGAAGCAAAAAUGUCAAGAUUCCAACUAUGGCGGUCAGGAAUUAAUAACUAGACAAGUGAAAGAAAAACUUAGUAAGAAUGAGGUUUAUGUGAGUGGUGACCUUAUCGCUGCAAGGGCUGAAAAAAAUGACCAAGAGCAUUCAGAGUAUCGCCUGAGGAAUUAUCUGAAGAAUAUCUUGAAUGUAAAAUAUAAAUGUGUGGUUUAUUUCACUGUAAAUUCACCCUGUUUGGAUAAAUGCAUAUCAGAAUCCUGGCAAUUCAGCAUUAGAGGUAAUCUGAGAAAUUUAGAAAAAUAUGAAGGAACUAAAGCCUUUGCAUUCAAAUUAUUUUGGAUACGUGAUGAAAGUGUGGAGGUUAAAAAGAGACUUAAGGAAAUUGCACCUGCUUUGCCAUAUUAUCAUUGUGAGGCAAACAAAGCUGAAUGUGAUCGCCUGUAAGUAGAGCGAUGCUUAUGCUUGACAGUUGCUUUCUUCACAAACAGACAUGGUUUUAUUUAGCUGAGGGUUUUGGUUCUCUUUUAAUUGCAGUAAACAUUACAUUGGCAAAUAAAAUCUGUAAUCUGUAAAAUGCAUAAUUUGUGAUCUUGUGUGCUUGAGUAGUCGCCAACUGUGUUACAGUCCCUGUUUUGUGUUUAAGGACUUAGUGUUUUUGUAAUGUUUUUGCACCUAUUGUUUCUGUGUUCACUUACAUUUACAUUUAUUCAUUUUGCAGACGCUUUUAUCCAAAGCAACUCACAACUGAGAUAUAAAUAAAGUGAUUUUUCUUAAAGAGGCAAACAGACACAGGAAGUGCUUGUAAUUCCAAGUUCUCUCACUAAAUCCUCUGAAGUAGCCCACAUUACAGAUAGGAUGUCUGCCCAGUGCUGGAACAAACAACUGAACAAAUAAAAAUGCAUUUUAUUAAGCAUAAUUUGUGAUCCAAGUAUUAUCUCAUUCAAACACACUCUAGAUGUAAAUCAUUCAAUCAUACGGAGAGGCCAUGUCUAUUUUAACUAUUAUAUCCUUCCAUGAUUUUAUACUUUAAAGCCAUGGCAUGAAUAUGAAAUGUUACAUAUAGUAUUUAGAACAGAUUUAGAUGACACAUAUGGGACCGGAAGUUCAGUGUGACCUCACGUAACUGUUAGAACUGAUAAAA
rnacentral:lncRNA from 1 species